ACCACACCUUCCUCAUCAGCAGGGUAUUAUGUGCUUUUAUUUUGAAAGCAGAAACAUUUCCUAGCAUUUACCUGCAUUAAAUUCAUGAGAUGAAUCAGACAGGUGACAAGAUGAUCAACUCCAGCACUCUUUGAACUGCUCACAACUCAUGACAUACACAUGUGAUGGUGAGGGCCUCAUGACUUUUUUCAUUUUCUUAUUUUUUGCUGACACAAGCCAAAAACUCUGGGUACCACUAGCCCAGGUUAUUGGAUUGGGUUUCUCUUUUCGAUCCACACGAGCCUCCUGAGAAUCUGUGAAUACCCUCAAAGCAGCGCUUCACACCGAAAGGAACGAUACAGCUGUGACUGUUGGCGUCAUGUUCUUUCAAGCAGUAGAUGCAAUAAUUGCACUACUUCACCCAGUAAUCCUGACCGCAAUGGUCUCAUUAUAUUUCAUUGGAUACUCCAUGAUGAAGAAUUAUCGUUCUUCAGGAGACAUCACCAAGAUGAUUAUUGGCAUGAUUACGCUGAACAUCCUUUGCUUGCUCAGACUGCAUAUUACGGUAGCUCUGGGAUUUGGUGCUCUUGUGAUAGUCUUCCUCUGUAAUAUGCCUGUGCAGAGGAAUCAGGAAGAAAGAAGACACGAAAGUCGGAUGGCGCUGAUGUCCAGGGCUGAACUGGAACAAAAAUACCCUCGCAUUUUUGGCCUCAGAUAGGCAUACAACAUGACUGAUUGACUGAAUCAAGCACAAUUUUUGAAUUUAAGGACACAAUCUGACAGAAAGAGUGGAUUUUCAGAACAAAAACAUCUUUAGAAGCAAACUUGUUGACAAGUUGGAAAAAAUUGCAAUCCAGCAGAGCAGGGGUAUAGGGUACAGUCAGAGAAAAUUAAUUCAAGCAAAGGUUCAGAACAUCACAAUAUCUAACUGAAUUAGUGUUGUAUAUGUUGAUGUAACCUAGUAGAUGUAUUAAUGUCUGCAUGUAUUCAAUCCUGACCGUCAAAUCAAAUAAAUUCAGUACGGUUCAAAACA